rnacentral:rRNA from 1 species
GGACCCGCACAAGCAGUGGAGUAUGUGGUUUAAUUCGACGAUACGCGAAAAAUCUUACCAGGUCUUGACAGCCAACUAACGAAGCGGAAACGUAUUAGGUGCCCUUUCGGGGGAAAGUUGGUACAGGUGGCGCAUGGUUGUCGUCAGCUCGUGUCGUGAGAUGUUGGGUUAAGUCCCGCAACGAGCGCAACCCUUGCUGUCAGUUACUACGAAAGAGGACUCUGACAGGACCGCCGUUGACAAAACGGAGGAAGGUGGGGAUGACGUCAAAUCCUCAUGCCCUUUAUGAUCUGGGCUACACACGUACUACAAUGGCCAUUACAAUGGGUUGCCAAACCGCAAGGUGGAGCUAAUCCCUUAAAGAUGGUCUCAGUUCGGAUUGUAGGCUGAAAUUCGCCUGCAUGAAGUUGGAAUUGCUAGUAAUCGCGGAUCAGCAUGCCG